rnacentral:rRNA from 1 species
GGUGUGUACAAGGCCCGGGAACGUAUUCACCGCGGCGUGCUGAUCCGCGAUUACUAGCGAUUCCGGCUUCAUGUAGGCGAGUUGCAGCCUACAAUCCGAACUGAGAGAAGCUUUAAGAGAUUAGCUUAGCCUCGCGACUUCGCAACUCGUUGUACUUCCCAUUGUAGCACGUGUGUAGCCCAGGUCAUAAGGGGCAUGAUGAUUUGACGUCAUCCCCACCUUCCUCCGGUUUGUCACCGGCAGUCUCGCUAGAGUGCCCAACUAAAUGAUGGCAACUAACAAUAAGGGUUGCGCUCGUUGCGGGACUUAACCCAACAUCUCACGACACGAGCUGACGACAACCAUGCACCACCUGUCACUUUGCCCCCGAAGGGGAAGCUCUAUCUCUAGAGUGGUCAAAGGAUGUCAAGACCUGGUAAGGUUCUUCGCGUUGCUUCGAAUUAAACCACAUGCUCCACCGCUUGUGCGGGCCCCCGUCAAUUCCUUUGAGUUUCAACCUUGCGGUCGUACUCCCCAGGCGG